GUGCUCAUGUGGGCAGCACUUAUGAUAAAAUUGGAAUGGUGCAGAGAAAUUAGUGUGGUUUCUGCACAAGGGUGACACACAGACUCAUGAAGCAUUCUAUACUUUU